UACGGGAGGCGACAGUAGGGAAUCUUCCGCAAUGGACGGAAGUCUGACGGAGCAACGCCGCGUGAGUGAAGCAGGCCUUCGGAUCGUAAAGCUCUGUUGCCAGGGUAAUCAGCGGUACAGGAGUCACUGUCUGUACUGUGCCGGUACCUGAGUCAGCAAGCCCCGGCCUAACUACGUGCCAGCAGCCGCGGUAAA
rnacentral:rRNA from 1 species